rnacentral:rRNA from 1 species
ACUCCUACGGGAGGCAGCAGUGGGGAAUAUUGCACAAUGGGGGAAACCCUGAUGCAGCCAUGCCGCGUGUGUGAAGAAGGCCUUGGUUGUAAAGCACUUUCAGUAGGGAGGAAGGUAGUGUAGUUAACACCUGCAUUAUUUGACGUUACCUACAGAAGAAGCACCGGCUAACUCCGUGCCAGCAGCCGCGGUAAUACGGAGGGUGCGAGCGUUAAUCGGAAUUACUGGGCGUAAAGCGCAUGCAGGCGGCCUGUUAAGUCAGAUGUGAAAGCCCGGGGCUUAACCUCGGAAUUGCAUUUGAAACUGGCAGGCUAGAGUCUUGUAGAGGGGUUAGAAUUUCAGGUGUAGCGGUGAAAUGCGUAGAGAUCUGAAGGAAUACCAGUGGCGAAGGCGGCCCCUGGACAAAGACUGACGCUCAGAUGCGAAAGCGUGGGAGCAAACAGGAUUAGAUACCCCUGGUAGACUGUCA